rnacentral:lncRNA from 1 species
UUAUUUAAUAGGCUAUCCAGAUAAUACCAAAGUAUAUAGAUUCUAUUGCCCUGACAAGAAAUAUAAAGAUAGUUGAGUCUAAUCAUAUCAAAUUUCUAGAGUUUGAUAUGGAUAAUUACAUAUACUCUUAUAUUGGAGAUAUGAUAUUAAAAAAAAUAAGUUAUUAUUCUUAUCUUAUUUAUCCAAAAAAAUAUCAUAUUUCAUCCUAGAAGGAU